CUUGUGCUGGGUGCUGUUUGGCAUGGCCAGUGGCACAGUAAGAGAAGGAGUAGGAGUGGAGGAGUGAAGAAAGAGGAGGAGGAGAAGAGAAGAAAAGGAGGAGGAAAGAGAAGAACUAGAAGAGAAAAUGAGAAGAAGAUAGUAAGAAGAGAGGAAGUGGAGAAAAAAAGGAGAGGGGGACAACAGGACCAGGAGAGGAGAGGAGAAAAGGGAAGCUAGGAGGAAGUAGGGAGAAAAAAGGAGGAGAAGAAGAAAAGAAUGAGGAAAAGAGAAGAGGACGAGAGGAGGAGGAGAGGAUGAGAAAAAGAGGAAAGGAGGAAAGGAAGAGAAGGAGGAGGAGGAGAAGGAGGAGUAGAGGAGAUGGACAAGGAGGAGGAGGGGACAAGGAAGAGGAGAAGACGAAGAGAAAGGAGAGGAGGAGAAUCGGGAGCAGAAGAAGGAGGAGGAGAUGAAGAGGUGAAGGAGAGGAGGAGGAAAGGAGAAGAGAAGGAGGAGGAGAAAAGAAAGGAGUGGAGAAAGAGGAGAGGAGGAGAAAAAAUAGGAAACGAAGAGGAGAAGAAUAGGAGGAGGAAAAGGAUGGGAGAAAAGAAAAAGGAAAAGUAGGAGGAGUAGAAAAAGAGGAGAAGGAGGAAGAAGAAAGAGAAGGAGGAGACGAAAAGAAUGAGAAAAAGAGGAGAGGAGAAUGAGGAGAAGGCGUAGAAGAAAAGAAGGAGGAGAGGAUAAAGAAGGAGAAGAAAAGGAGGAUGGGAGGAAGAGAAGAGGAAAAGGAAAAAGGAAGAGGAGAGAAAAAGGAAAAGGAGGAGAAGAGUAGAGGAGAAGAAAGGAAAAGGAGGAUGAUAGGAAGAAGACGGAGGAGAAGAGGACAGAGAAGUAGAGGAGAAAAAAGGAAAAGAAUGGGGAGAAGGAGGAAAGUAGGAACAAAGAAAAGGAGGGGGAAGAGAGUAGGAGGAAGAGGAAGGGAAGAGGAGGAAAGGAGGGGGAGAGGAGGAGGAGGACGAGGAGAAGAUGGAGAAAAGGAAGAUGAGGAAGAGAAGGAGGGGAGGAGGAGAGAAGAAAGAAGAAAAGGAACAGGAGGAGAGGAGAAAGGAGAGGAGAAGAAGGAGAGAAAGGAAAAGUAAGAGGAAGAGGAGAAUGUGGAUAGGAGAAGGAGGAAGAGAAAAAGGUGGAGAGGAGGAGAGGCGAAGGAAAAGGAGGAAGAACUGAAAAGGAGGAGAGGAAAAGGAGACAAGGGGAGGGGAGGAGGAAGAAAAGAAAAAAACGGGAGGAUGAGGAAAGGAGGAGGAAACAAAAAGGAGAAAGGACGAGGAGAAAAAGAGGAAAAGGAGGAGGAGAGAUGGAAGAGGAGAGGUGGUGGAGGGGAGUAAAAAGGAGAGGAGGAGGAAGGGAAGAAA
rnacentral:lncRNA from 1 species